GGUGGAGGAAGCUCAUCAGCCGGGCCACGUGCUGAGUGCCGUCACUCCCGGCCCCUGGGAAGGUCUGAGACUGGCCCCCCUCCCCCCGUGGCCCGAACUGGGCCCUCCCUGAGCAGGGAGGUGAGUUCCCAGAGAGCAGAGUCAUUAUAGGCUUGAGGAGAGAGCUGACACUAGUGAGAUCUCUAGAGAUCUACAAGGAUAACACCAACUGGCAAACUAAACAAUAGUAGAGAGACUACUAAUAGGCCCUCUUUGAUGAUAGGGUUGAUGACUAUCCUAUAUGCCAUUCUAGAACCUUCAUCCAGGGACU
ensembl:ribozyme RNaseP_nuc Nuclear RNase P